UCCAAGCUCAGGUCUGUCAUUUGACGAUUGU
rnacentral:piRNA from 1 species